rfam:Xenopus laevis strain J chromosome 8L, whole genome shotgun sequence.
AAAGUUGCAUAUGCCACAGCAAUGGACUGGUUUAUGGCAGUGUGCUAUGCCUUU